GGAGCAUUAGCUCAGGUGGUAGAGCACUUGACUUUUAAUCAAGUUGUCCGGGGUUCGAAUCCCCGAUGCUUCACUA
rnacentral:tRNA from 1 species